CGCCGACCAUCGCCCCCUGGCGGCCUCUCUCUGAGCGCGCUCCCGUGGGGCCGUGGGAAACAGCGUUCGUUCGUGCGAAAUGGAGUUACCUUCGUUUCUCUUCCCACCAAGAACCAAACCUGCCACAUAGUAGGCCUCAGUAUCUGUUGACCUGAAGAGGCACCAGACUGUGGUGGUGACAGCAAAGACUCUGAAGCCAGGACCUGGAUUUGAACACAGCUGUGCAACAUACUAACUAUGUGACCUUGGACAGGUGUUUCUCCAACAGAAAAGUGAACAGAAGUGCAUCAAAUGGUAUGUACUGAGGGGAGGGAAUAGCUCAGUGGUAGAGCAUGUGCUUAGCAUGUAUGAUGUCCUGGGUUCAAUCCCCAGUACCUCCAUCAAAAAAAUAAAUAAAUAAAACCUCCCUCCACACAAAAAAGGUAUGUACUAAAUUGCUUAUAGCAGAAUUAUUUCUAA